GGUCAUUAAGUGGCUCAAACGGUAGCGCGCUCGCUUGGCAUGCGUGCGGCCUGGGUUGGAUCCUCAGCACCA
rnacentral:tRNA from 1 species